CACCACUCAAGCCUCGCUUGGUCUUGGGCGUCGCGGUUCCGCCGCGCGCCCUAAUGUCUCCGGCUGAGCCGUCCGUCUCUAAGCGUUGUGAUAAACGAUCCGCUUGCGAGGCCGGGCUGGUUUGUUCGCCGUUAAACCCCCCAUUUUAACA
rnacentral:misc_RNA from 1 species